rnacentral:tRNA from 1 species
GGGAAGGUGGCUCAGUGGUAGAGAGCUUGCCUUGCAUGCAUGAGGCCCUGGGUUCGAUUCCUCAGCUCCA